rnacentral:rRNA from 1 species
UACGUAGGGUGCAGGCGUUAAUCGGAAUUACUGGGCGUAAAGCGUGCGCAGGCGGUCUUUUAAGUCAGAUGUGAAAUCCCCCGGGCUUAACCUGGGAACUGCGUUUGAAACUGGAAGGCUAGAGUGUGGCAGAGGGGGGUGGAAUUCCACGUGUAGCAGUGAAAUGCGUAGAGAUGUGGAGGAACACCGAUGGCGAAGGCAGCCCCCUGGGCUAACACUGACGCCUCAUGCACGAAAGCGUGGGGAGCAAACAGG